ACGAGUGGAGGAUGGGCAGAGAGAGAAGGAAUCUGAUGCAAGCUCCAUGUUCCAAGCUCCAAACUGUCAGCACAGAGCCUGACAUGGGGCUCGAACCCACAAACCAUGAGAUCAUGACCUGAGCUGAAGUCAGACACUUAAGUGACUGAGCCACCCAGGCACACCUGCUUGGAAAUCUUCUAAUGAAAGGAAACCUAUAUUUCAAGCAUAGAACUCCAUCUACUGCUUUUCAUCAUGGUGUACUGAGAAGACCAGUCGGCAGGGAAAACCGUGGACUCACCCAAGCUCUGUCACGAGGCGUGCCCAGAUUUUUUCCCUGAGUUCCAGUCCUCGAUGCCCACAUCUCUCACCUUCAUCUCUUUUUUGAGCCUCACCAGUCCCCAAAUCAAAGUUUUCUCCAGGUAAGUGCUUUGUUGCAGCUCUAUCUUUACAUGUUUGUAAUUCAUAAAAUGAAAAGCCCCAAGCAUUAUUCAUGUUUCUAUUCCUAGUACCUAUCAUAGC